ACAAAGUUUGACGUUUCGUAAACAAACAGCUGGGAUUUACAAAUUUUGUUUGAUUUAACUAAUUAUUGUAACGUUAGAAGUAGUGGUUUGUGUUUUUCUUAUUUUGUAUGUGCAGUAAAUUAAAAUAAUGUUUGGAUGUAGUGUUAUGGGCUGUAAAAGCAAUAUAAUAAGGAAAAUUGAGGGAAUAUCUUUUCACACAUUUCCUUAUGACCCUAAAAUCCGUAAAUUAUGGAUAACUGCAACAAAUAGACUGAAUUGGGUCCCACCGCGUGGUUCAAUAAUAUACAGUCAACAUUUUAAUAAAGAAAAUGUAUUAAAUGUUGGAAAGAAAACAUUUCUUUUUCUGUGCCUGUCAAGCUCCUAGAUUCUAAGAGCAUCUCACACCCAUCGUGUGAGACCUCCCGCUUUGUACGGUGAGGGAAAAUGGGAAUAUUUCCUACUCCUGCUAUGACCUGUCUUCUUCUGAUUAA